AUGGACUUUAAAAAGGAAGAUCUAGGACUUCUAAAGUUGAAUGCACAUUUGAGAACAAUUCAUGUGGCCAAUCCUGAAGGGCAUGAGCUGAGAGCAUGUAGACAUUUAGAGUCCAGACUGAAAUCCCACUGCCUAAAUUCAUAUCCUGCUACCUAUUAUCUCUGUGAUCUUCAGUAAGUUAUGC
rnacentral:lncRNA from 1 species